AUUGAACGCUGGCGGCAGGCCUAACACAUGCAAGUCGAGCGGGGUUUUCGGACCUAGCGGCGGACGGGUGAGUAAUGCGUAGGAAGCUGCCCGAUAGAGGGGGAUACCAGUUGGAAACGACUGUUAAUACCGCAUAAUGUCUACGGACCAAAGUGUGGGACCUUCGGGCCACAUGCUAUCGGAUGCGCCUACGUGGGAUUAGCUAGUUGGUGAGGUAAUGGCUCACCAAGGCGACGAUCUCUAGCUGGUUUGAGAGGAUGAUCAGCCACACUGGAACUGAGACACGGUCCAGACUCCUACGGGAGGCAGCAGUGGGGAAUAUUGGACAAUGGGCGCAAGCCUGAUCCAGCCAUGCCGCGUGUGUGAAGAAGGCCUUCGGGUUGUAAAGCACUUUCAGCGAGGAGGAAGGGGUAGUAGUUAAUAGCUGCUACUUUUGACGUUACUCGCAGAAGAAGCACCGGCUAACUCUGUGCCAGCCGCCGCCGUAAAAC
rnacentral:rRNA from 1 species